AGCGUACACGGUGGAUGCCCUGGCAGUCAGAGGCGAUGAAGGGCGUGCUAAUCUGCGAUAAGCGCCGGUAAGGUGAUAUGAACCGUUAUAACCGGCGAUACCCGAAUGGGGAAACCCAGUGUGACUCGUCACACUAUCAUUAACUGAAUCCAUAGGUUAAUGAGGCGAACCGGGGGAACUGAAACAUCUAAGUACCCCGAGGAAAAGAAAUCAACCGAGAUUCCCCCAGUAGCGGCGAGCGAACGGGGAGGAGCCCAGAGCCUGAAUCAGCAUGUGUGUUAGUGGAAGCGUCUGGAAAGGCGCGCGAUACAGGGUGACAGCCCCGUACACAAAAGCGCAUGUGCUGUGAGCUCGAUGAGUAGGGCGGGACACGUGGUAUCCUGUCUGAAUAUGGGGGGACCAUCCUCCAAGGCUAAAUACUCCUGACUGACCGAUAGUGAACCAGUACCGUGAGGGAAAGGCGAAAAGAACCCCGGCGAGGGGAGUGAAAAAGAACCUGAAACCGUGUACGUACAAGCAGUGGGAGCCCCACCACCAAAGCAUUCUCUGGUGUUGAAGGCCCUGCAAAGCAGCAUCGCGGUGGCGGAGCGUCGUUUGCGACGCCCAACACACAAAACAAGCGGUGAGUGCUUUGGGGUGGGGUGACUGCGUACCUUUUGUAUAAUGGGUCAGCGACUUAUAUUCUGUAGCAAGGUUAACCGUAUAGGGGAGCCGGAGGGAAACCGAGUCUUAACCGGGCGUUAAGUUGCAGGGUAUAGACCCGAAACCCGGUGAUCUAGCCAUGGGCAGGUUGAAGGUUGGGUAACACUAACUGGAGGACCGAACCGACUAAUGUUGAAAAAUUAGCGGAUGACCUGUGGCUGGGGGUGAAAGGCCAAUCAAACCGGGAGAUAGCUGGUUCUCCCCGAAAGCUAUUUAGGUAGCGCCUCGUGAAUUCAUCUCCGGGGGUAGAGCACUGUUUCGGCUAGGGGGCCAUCCCGGCUUACCAACCCGAUGCAAACUGCGAAUACCGGAGAAUGUUAUCACGGGAGACACACGGCGGGUGCUAACGUCCGUCGUGAAGAGGGAAACAACCCAGACCGCCAGCUAAGGUCCCAAAGUCAUGGUUAAGUGGGAAACGAUGUGGGAAGGCCCAGACAGCCAGGAUGUUGGCUUAGAAGCAGCCAUCAUUUAAAGAAAGCGUAAUAGCUCACUGGUCGAGUCGGCCUGCGCGGAAGAUGUAACGGGGCUAAACCAUGCACCGAAGCUGCGGCAGCGACGCUUAUGCGUUGUUGGGUAGGGGAGCGUUCUGUAAGCCUGUGAAGGUGGCCUGUGAGGGUUGCUGGAGGUAUCAGAAGUGCGAAUGCUGACAUAAGUAACGAUAAAGCGGGUGAAAAGCCCGCUCGCCGGAAGACCAAGGGUUCCUGUCCAACGUUAAUCGGGGCAGGGUGAGUCGACCCCUAAGGCGAGGCCGAAAGGCGUAGUCGAUGGGAAACGGGUUAAUAUUCCCGUACUUGGUGUUACUGCGAAGGGGGGACGGAGAAGGCUAUGUUGGCCGGGCGACGGUUGUCCCGGUUUAAGCGUGUAGGUGUGUGUUCCAGGUAAAUCCGGUUCACUUUAACACUGAGGCGUGAUGACGAGGCACUACGGUGCUGAAGCAACAAAUGCCCUGCUUCCAGGAAAAGCCUCUAAGCAUCAGGUAACAUCAAAUCGUACCCCAAACCGACACAGGUGGUCAGGUAGAGAAUACCAAGGCGCUUGAGAGAACUCGGGUGAAGGAACUAGGCAAAAUGGUGCCGUAACUUCGGGAGAAGGCACGCUGACANGUAGGUGAAGUGAUUUACUCAUGGAGCUGAAGUCAGUCGAAGAUACCAGCUGGCUGCAACUGUUUAUUAAAAACACAGCACUGUGCAAACACGAAAGUGGACGUAUACGGUGUGACGCCUGCCCGGUGCCGGAAGGUUAAUUGAUGGGGUCAGCGCAAGCGAAGCUCCUGAUCGAAGCCCCGGUAAACGGCGGCCGUAACUAUAACGGUCCUAAGGUAGCGAAAUUCCUUGUCGGGUAAGUUCCGACCUGCACGAAUGGCGUAAUGAUGGCCAGGCUGUCUCCACCCGAGACUCAGUGAAAUUGAACUCGCUGUGAAGAUGCAGUGUACCCGCGGCAAGACGGAAAGACCCCGUGAACCUUUACUAUAGCUUGACACUGAACAUUGAGCCUUGAUGUGUAGGAUAGGUGGGAGGCUUUGAAGUGUGGACGCCAGUCUGCAUGGAGCCGACCUUGAAAUACCACCCUUUAAUGUUUGAUGUUCUAACGUGGACCCGUGAUCCGGGUUGCGGACAGUGUCUGGUGGGUAGUUUGACUGGGGCGGUCUCCUCCUAAAGAGUAACGGAGGAGCACGAAGGUUGGCUAAUCCUGGUCGGACAUCAGGAGGUUAGUGCAAUGGCAUAAGCCAGCUUGACUGCGAGCGUGACGGCGCGAGCAGGUGCGAAAGCAGGUCAUAGUGAUCCGGUGGUUCUGAAUGGAAGGGCCAUCGCUCAACGGAUAAAAGGUACUCCGGGGAUAACAGGCUGAUACCGCCCAAGAGUUCAUAUCGACGGCGGUGUUUGGCACCUCGAUGUCGGCUCAUCACAUCCUGGGGCUGAAGUAGGUCCCAAGGGUAUGGCUGUUCGCCAUUUAAAGUGGUACGCGAGCUGGGUUUAGAACGUCGUGAGACAGUUCGGUCCCUAUCUGCCGUGGGCGCUGGAGAACUGAGGGGGGCUGCUCCUAGUACGAGAGGACCGGAGUGGACGCAUCACUGGUGUUCGGGUUGUCAUGCCAAUGGCACUGCCCGGUAGCUAAAUGCGGAAGAGAUAAGUGCUGAAAGCAUCUAAGCACGAAACUUGCCCCGAGAUGAGUUCU
rnacentral:rRNA from 1 species